GGGGAUGUAGCUCAGUUGGCUAGAGCGCUUGACUGGCAGUCAAGAGGUCGUGGGUUCGAAUCCCAUCUUCUCCAC
rnacentral:tRNA from 1 species